rnacentral:rRNA from 1 species
UACGUAGGUGGCUAGCGUUGUCCGGAUUUACUGGGCGUAAAGAGCGCGUAGGCGGUCGUUCAAGUCGGGUGUGAAAGCCCCCGGCUCAACUGGGGAGGGUCACUCGAUACUGAUCGACUCGAAGGCAGGAGAGGGAAGCGGAAUUCCCGGUGUAGUGGUGAAAUGCGUAGAUAUCGGGAGGAACACCAGUGGCGAAGGCGGCUUUCUGGCCUGUUCUUGACGCUGAGGCGCGAAAGCCAGGGGAGCAAACGGG